rnacentral:rRNA from 1 species
CCUACGGGAGGCAGCAGUGAGGAAUAUUGGUCAAUGGGCGCGAGCCUGAACCAGCCAAGUAGCGUGAAGGAUGACUGCCCUACGGGUUGUAAACUUCUUUUAUAAAGGAAUAAAGUGAGGCACGUGUGCCUUUUUGUAUGUACUUUAUGAAUAAGGAUCGGCUAACUCCGUGCCAGCAGCCGCGGUAAUACGGAGGAUCCGAGCGUUAUCCGGAUUUAUUGGGUUUAAAGGGAGCGUAGAUGGGUUGUUAAGUCAGGUGUGAAAGUUUGCGGCUCAACCGUAACAUUGCAUUUGAUACUGGCAGCCUUGAGUACAGUUGAGGUAGGCGGAAUUCGUGGUGUAGCGGUGAAAUGCUUAGAUAUCACGAAGAACGCCGAUUGCGAAGGCAGCUUACUAAACUGCCACUGACAUUGAGGCUCGAAAGUGUGGGUAUCAAACAGGAUUAGAUACCCUAGUAGUC